GAGGGAGAGAGACAGAGAAAGAGGGGAGAAGGAGGAGGAUUCAGGGAAUAGGAGCUGGGGAGCCCUUCUGUGCCACAGAAGUAGAAGUAGAGAUACUCAAGAUUAUGGCAGACAGGAGGCAGGACUAGAUUGCAGCUCUGACUUGGAUGGACAGAACACUGUGUGGAGGGUCGCAUCAUGAAUUUUAGCUCCAGAAUGACUGCAGGAAUAAAUCAGGAAUCCCAGAGGACCCACAGACCCUCUGAAGGAAGUGGAUUGCUCCUGCAGGACCCGGGAGACACCCCAAAUACCGCUCUGAUCUAACACAAGCCUUGUCCAGCCUCAUCUUGAGUUUUCAGCUGAGGAAACGGAGGCUCAAAUGCUCGUCAGUUUCCCAGGGACGUGGGCUGGUGAUAUACCUGCUCAUAUCCACUGCCUGUUUUUAGAGAAGAGGCAUCCAGAAUGGCAGAAAGAUGCAUGGCAAUGUCCUCAUUGUGUCAGGCGUGGCUUGGGUCCCUGUACCCUACUGAAGAAAUUUGAAGGUGCCACAGAAGAGAACCCAAAACAAGCCACAGAAAUGAGCCAAAGUAAUUAAAGAAUGUUACCAUGUUACCUACCAUGCCUCAGGCAUUGAGCUAAACGACCAGGCUACAAAGAUGCACAGAGAUGCCUUACCUUGAAGAGUUCAAGACCUGGGGUACAGAAUGGCCAGGGGCACAAGACAGCUCAUGGAGGAGGAACGAAAAGUCCGGCACCGUGAGAUGAGUAUUCAAACGCAAGCUGAGCAGAGAAGAUCCAGAUAAAUGCAGCCCUUCAUUCAAGGCUACACUUUCUGAUGGCUAUUACAUUUGAACUCCAAGAGGUAAACUCUGUUUCACUUCUUCUGCAAAGCCUUUUCAAAGCUUUUCCAUAAAACUGUAGCUCAACACUAAGUAAGUUGUCCCUUCACUGAAUCCUAUAGCACAGUAGUUCUUAAAUUUGAGCAUCAGCCAAGCGCAGUGGUCCACGCCUAUAAUCCCAGAACUCUGAGGCCAAGGUGGAGGAUUGCUUGAGCCCAGGAGUUUGAAACCAGCCUGGAAAACACAGGGAGACCCCGCCUCUCUACAAAAUUAAAAAAUAUAUAAAAAUUUUGAGCAUGUAUUAGAAUCACCCAGAGGGCAGAGAGAGUAUGGAGCACCCCCACAGUAUAGUAGGUCUGGGCUGGAGCCCAAAGAUUUGCAUUCCUAACAAGUUCACAGGUUAUACCAAUGCUGCAGGUCUGGAACCAUGCUUUGAGAACCACAGCUGUUAACAUAUAUGCUCUACCUUAUAAUUUCAUCUCUUAUUUGUAUUGUCUAGAAAUAGUCCUGAAUUAUUCUUAGCGUAUCAGUCUGUCUUCUCGACCAGAUUUCAAUUCCUGCAGUGGCAGAGGUUGUAUAUAUUUUCUACCACAUCAAUUAGCAUUAUUGGACACAUAGUCUACUAAGUACUUAUACACUGGGAAGAGCUUCAGAGAACUUGAAUUCUUCAAGGAGACAGGGAUCAACUAUGGUUAAUUAUAGGAUUUCCACAUUUUGCAAAAGAUCAUCUAAUUUUUCCUCAUCAUUCAUAUUUGCAGAGAAAAGUCUUCAUUUCCUUGAGCAAUAUCCUAAUCUCAUUAAAGAAACACUCCAGUCUUGAUUUAGGAAAAAAAGAUUCAUUCCUUCAUCCUUCCAAAUAAGGUACAGUACAACUCAAUAACAAUGCACAUUACUGAAAAACACAAUUGCGUCUUAUAUUGCUCACUACUCUUUAAGUAUAAUUCAGAUAUUAAGGAAAAUAACUGCUAAUCACAUUAACACAUUACAGAAAUCAAAAUUAACUUACCACACAAAAUAAAUUAAAACAUUAAAUAUUAACCUUUUCAGUGCAACAUAUACAGACAUCAGAGUAAGGAGUUCUAAAAAAAAGCAUCAGGUUUAUUAUAAUAAAGAUAAUGAAAAGUUGACCAUUUUAGUAAAUUAUUAAGACUAAGAAGAGGAGUUGCUUUUUCAGUACUCUCUCUCUCUCUGUGUGAACCACUAGAUCUUUCAGAAAGCCUGGUAAAUCAAUGGCUAGAGAGAACAGGUCUUAUGUUAGAACAUUUAAAAAUAUACAUGUUUGUCUUACUUCUGCAAUGUGUUCUUGGUUUUGGGCAUUUGAGUCAUUCCUCCUUCUGUGACUGGGCAGGUUGGAAGAGAUCAAAGCCCAGAACCAACUAGAGGGCAGGGGUCUCCUGAGCAGUGUUAGAGCCUCAUUAGUCCAUCCCGGCCAAAUUGACUGAAAAAGCAACUGGUGACCCAUGUGCCCUCGAAAACCUGGCUUGAAGAUAACAGGCAGUUUUCUGUACCUGCAAAACACAAUCCCUUGAGAAGCUCCAGAAGCACAAAUUCUCCUCCCUUACCAGUGUGGGUGGGUGAGUGGCAAUCCCAUCUUUUUCUCCUUUCUCAGGGAAAAGAACUCUAGGGCCAUUCUGCCCAUCUCUCCUGCGGGGACACAAUGGCCAGCCCAUCCCUGGCUUGGUUCCACGUGUGUCCAGCCGGGGCCCUGUCUUCCAGAUCAGGGUUGGCUGCUGUCUAUCUUUCCAUGUAGAAGAAAACAUUUCCUGUCAGGAUGCU
rnacentral:lncRNA from 1 species